GUGCCAGCCGCCGCGGUAAGACGUAGGGUGCAAGCGUUGUCCGGAUUUACUGGGCGUAAAGCGCGCGUAGGCGGCUCGUUAAGUGUGAAGUGAAAUCUCCAGGGCUCAACCCGGAAACUGCUUCGCAUACUGGCGAGCUUGAGGAAGGCAGAGGUUAGUAGAAUUCCUGGUGUAGCGGUGAAAUGCAUAGAUAUCAGGAGGAAUACCGACGGCGAAGGCAGCUAACUGGGCCUUAUCUGACGCUGAGGCGCGAAAGCGUGGGUAGCAAACAGGAUUAGAAACCCCUGUAGUCC
rnacentral:rRNA from 1 species